GACGAACGCUGGCGGCGUGCUUAACACAUGCAAGUCGAACGGAAAGGCCCUGCUUUUGUGGGGUGCUCGAGUGGCGAACGGGUGAGUAACACGUGAGUAACCUGCCCUUGACUUUGGGAUAACUUCAGGAAACUGGGGCUAAUACCGGAUAGGAGCUCCUGCUGCAUGGUGGGGGUUGGAAAGAUUCGGCGGUUGGGGAUGGACUCGCGGCUUAUCAGCUUGUUGGUGGGGUAGUGGCUUACCAAGGCUUUGACGGGUAGCCGGCCUGAGAGGGUGACCGGCCACAUUGGGACUGAGAGACGGCGCAGACUCCUACGGGAGGCAGCAGUGGGGAAUAUUGCACAAUGGGCGGAAGCCUGAUGCAGCAGCGCCGCGUGCGGGAUGCCGGCCUUCGGGUUGUAAACCGCUUUCGCCUGUGACGAAGCGUGAGUGACGGUAAUGGGUAAAGAAGCACCGGCUAACUACGUG
rnacentral:rRNA from 1 species